AAAUCAUUGGUGUCACUUUGGAGUGAAAAAACCCCAACCAGGCUGGCUGUAAACUGUCUUUUAGGGAUCAGGGAGCUGGGGAAUGUCGGAUCACGGAUCACCACUGCCCUUCCAAGAGGACCUGUGAGUGCCCUGGGAAGGCUCCUCCUGAGAUUUCUGGAGCUGGGUAUUUGCUUUCCUUGGAUCCCUCCCUCCUGGGAGAAGUGAUGCUGGAUGCUUUUCCUGUGUUGAUGAUGUGGGCUCGCUCCUUAAGUAAACCACGACUAAUUCCUGCCCCUGGCGCUGCCACCUCGCUGUCCUGCCCUUGAAAAGCAGUGAUUUGUGCGUCUGCUCUGCUGGCUCGCCGUGAAACCCGCGGGGUGGGAACCAACAGCAGUCCCUCGCCGUUAUUAAGUACAAACUCACCGCAAAAAAACAAAAAAAAAUUUUAAAAAAAUCCACUUUAAAAUUUUCCCUUUAUUUCCACCAGUCUGAAACUCCCUGAGCACCUCGUGGUGGGCUGAGAUUGUCCAGAAAGUUCCUAAUGCCCACAGAAAAUGAAUAUUUUGAUGGUGAUUGUGUUUAUUUGUGUUUAUUUGUUAAUUUAUCUGCUCUGACUGUCCAGGAGAGCACCACCAUCACCAGGCCUGAUGAAUGUGCUGGAGGAUGUAAACCUGGAUGAAGAUUUUGGCUCGAGGAGAGUUGGUUUUUCCAAAGUGAAAUGAUGGAUUUAUCAUGCUAGAUAUGAACAAAGUUGUUACAAAGUAAAAUAAAUUAAAAUGGAGGCAAAACA
rnacentral:lncRNA from 1 species